rnacentral:tRNA from 3 species
UGGUGUAGCUCAACUGGCAGAGCAGCUGAUUUGUAAUCAGCAGGUUGUAGGUUCGAUUCCUAUCACC